rnacentral:rRNA from 1 species
GACGAACGCUGGCGGCGUGCUUAACACAUGCAAGUCGAACGGAAAGGCCCUGCUUUUGUGGGGUGCUCGAGUGGCGAACGGGUGAGUAACACGUGAGUAACCUGCCCUUGACUUUGGGAUAACUUCAGGAAACUGGGGCUAAUACCGGAUAGGAGCUCCUGCUGCAUGGUGGGGGUUGGAAAGUUUCGGCGGUUGGGGAUGGACUCGCGGCUUAUCAGCUUGUUGGUGGGGUAGUGGCUUACCAAGGCUUUGACGGGUAGCCGGCCUGAGAGGGUGACCGGCCACAUUGGGCCUGAGAUAGGGCGCAGUCGCGUACGGGAGGCAGCAGUGGGGAAUAUUACACAAUGGGCGGAAGCCAGAUGCGGCAACGCCGCGUGCGGGAUGACGGGCUUCGGGUUAUGAACCGCUUUCGCCUGUGACGAAGCGUGAGUGACGGUAAUGGGUAAAGAAGCACCGGCUAACUACGUG